AGUUAGUGGCGGACGGGUGAGUAACACGUGGGUAACCUGCCUCACAGCUGGGGAUAACAUCGAGAAAUCGAUGCUAAUACCGAAUGUGCUGAACAUCAUAAGAUGUUCAAGUGAAAGACGGUUUCGGCUGUCACUGUGAGAUGGACCCGCGCUGGAUUAGCUAGUUGGUAAGGUAAUGGCUUACCAAGGCGACGAUCCAUAGCCGACCUGAGAGGGUGAUCGGCCACAUUGGGACUGAGACACGGCCCAAACUCCUACGGGAGGCAGCAGUAGGGAAUCUUCGGCAAUGGACGAAAGUCUGACCGAGCAACGCCGCGUGAGCGAAGAAGGCCUUCGGGUCGUAAAGCUCUGUUGUUAGAGAAGAACAUGGGUGAGAGUAACUGUUCACCCCUUGACGGUAUCUAACCAGAAAGCCACGGCUAACUACGUGCCAGCAGCCGCGGUAAUACGUAGGUGGCAAGCGUUGUCCGGAAUUAUUGGGCGUAAAGCGCGCGCAGGCGGUCUCUUAAGUCUGAUGUGAAAGCCCCCGGCUCAACCGGGGAGGGUCAUUGGAAACUGGGAGACUUGAGGACAGAAGAGGAGAGUGGAAUUCCAAGUGUAGCGGUGAAAUGCGUAGAUAUUUGGAG
rnacentral:rRNA from 1 species